GAGGAAGGUUGUGGCUCAGAGGU
rnacentral:miRNA from 1 species